ACCAUGUCCCUUUCCCUUCUGUAUGGGUGGAUGUCCCAGAAGUGGUUCCCUGCUUCAGCUGCUGUUGAGGGGCAUCCUGAUCUAUUUUCCCCACAGGAUAAGGAGAUCAUGCGGGAGAGGUUUUCAUGUAAUGAAUCAAUUGGAGUAUGUUCCUUCCUCACAGAUAGUUAACCUGUUUCUCUAGGUUUCUCAUCUUCCCUUUUUUUUUUUUCCCUUAAAUCAGUUUAAUCUACAUGAGUAUACAUGAAAAAAAAAGGAAGAGAAACAGAAACAGAUUAAUUGAUGAGAUUUAUUGUAGUAUUCUGGUACUCCACAUUCCUUUAAACCAGAUGUUAUGUUGUGGUCCUUAUAAAAGCCACUACUUUAGUCCCCUCUACUAAUGAUACAUAGCAUACAGAGAGAUCUCCGAGACCGUAAAGGCCAUUAUAACCAAGGUUUUAAAUCCUGUGAGAUAGGGUGUCUUGAUUUUGCCAUGGUCGAACACAUGGAAAUUGAACAUAAUAGAGACCAUUAUAAUAAAAGAAGAAAACACAUAAUGAGGAUUAAACACAUAAUGGAGCACAUGGAUUGGAAAACACAGAGCAAACAACCAACAGUCCACAAUAGAGUUUAUUACAGAGAAAGAAUGAUAAAGAAAUAACUGUCUUGCGUAUCCUUAUCAUAGCAAAUGAUCAGCAUACAUAGAAUAGUAGAUGGAUAAAAUUAUCAGAUAGAUGACAAAGCUCUAAUAUGUAGGACUUGCAAGGUGUGCCUAUGCAAUUUAAACAAAUUCAAAGACAUAAUUAGGAACUAGAUAAAACACACUCAAUGAUUUCAUAUAUACCAAAUAAACAAUGCAAAUCGGUGUUGUACGAGGAAAUUUAUGACCACAAGUACCGAAUCACAAGGAUAACAAAUGAAAAAAAAAAUGUUACAAGAGAAGCCAUAUGAGAAAAAGGCUAUCUUAGGCGAAGGGAAAUUUUUGAAAGAUCAAAUUUCUAGUACUCUGCUUGCAUGGUUGCACAAUAUAUAUAUGAGCUAACAGUGUGGAUUCCAUAUGACCAUUGGCUUUUAAGAUGCAGAGUUAUAAUAUGAGAAGUAUGUUGCAGAGGUUAACAAAGUGGCAAUUAUAUAUUAAUUAAUAAGCCAAACAUACACCUGCAAAUAGAAUUACCUCAUGUGCAUCAUCCUGGCAAACAAAAAGAGGAUGAGGAGGAACCAUACCCACAAAGAUUAUGCAUGGGGAAUUGUGUGGCAUGGCAAAACCUAUGAUUCGCAGGACUGCAACUUCUACAAAACAAAGAGGCAAGCUUUUCAUGCGACUGUCAGUUUAGAAGUCAUUAGUGGGAACGAAUUCAAGAAAUGAGUAGGAUGAAGAAUACUCAAAUAACAGAAAAUGAAUCAGAACCCUAAACAUAUAGAUCUCUGGACACAUAAUGUAACAAGCUAGCAACAUGUUCUGGUCUCAAAUAGAAAGUAAAUACUGCAUGAAAAGCAAUAAGUGCCUGUUAGGUCCUUUCUGGUCUCUUCAGUUGGAAACAUAUCAUCUUAUAGAAAAUUCAAGGUACAAAAAGCCUUUUUGAUGUCAGAUAGGCACUUGACUCCUUGGGAUCACACUCAGCUUACCCAUCAGAAUUCCUAGUUGACAUCAUAUCUAGGCUAUGUUCAAGUAUAAUACGUGAUUUUCUUUUUAGCAAGUGCGACAGGACAUUAAAUAAUGGACUUUAUUUCCUAGUAGAUAAGCAACUGGCGUGGUUCUUUUGAUUGAUGAGUGGAAAUAAUGGAAGGACUCCCUUGUCUAGAGCCGCCCUGGCCGAUAGCACAAAUUUUAUAGGCUAAGUUACUUGGACAUUUGCUUCUUGCUCCCACAAAACAAGUCUAAUAAUAUAAGCAUUGUACACUUGGAUAUUUAUCAAAGUCUCUUGGUUAUAGAUUUUAGAAUUGAUAACGUCAGUUUUUGGUCAGUAAUGCAGGUAUUUAAUAUAAAUAUACAAAAAUGAUAUUUUAUAAAAUCCUCAAACUACUUGAAAAGAUUAAUUGAGAAAGAUUUAUAUUUGAAGAGCAUAUGAUAACAUAUCUUUUAAUGCUUCCUUCCAUACAAUACUUUAAUUACAUAAAAUAUUACAAAUAUGUAUAUGUAUACAUAUAUGUGUUCUAAUCUAAUUCUCAAGUCAUUGUCCAUGCAUUACCAGUUAUAAGGUUGAUAUCAGUCUAAUUUCCUAUGCUCUGUCCAUUCUGUAUAGCCUUUGUGGCUUGGUUUAUGCUCUUUAGUUAAACCUGUCUUAAUGGGAGUAGGCUUACAAAAUGAUCAUGAUGCUGUAUGAUGGAAAUUACACAUGAUGAUAAGAUGCAAAGAGAAAAGCAGAGAAAUUUAAUCAGAUUAGCAAUUAAUAAAAAUCUUAUAGUGUGAAGAAGAUCUAUAGAAUUAGAAAUUUUGUUGGCUGUUAAUGAAUAGAGAUAAGAAGAAUUUACUUUUAGAUGCAAGUAGGAUGAGUGAAAGAUUAUGCUAAAUUUGCCAAUAUUAAGGAAAAUAUUUUGAUGCAGGCUGAAACCUGCAAGCCUUGGCUAAACCUAAAGGAUUCAACGAAGGAAAAAGAUGAUCCUGGGAUGCCACUCGACGCUACUAAUCGCAAAUACCACUCGAUGUGACCAAGCUACACACUUGAUUGGGAGGAGGAUGCCACUCAACUCACAAAAGCAAGAAAGGCUUGCUGGAAAGAAAUUCUGAAAAUAACAACUCUCUGUUUUUCAUUUCAUUCAUGUACCAGUUUUAUAUGCUAUCUUGGAACAUCCCUCUAAGCAUAGGUAAGACAAAAUAGUGCUAAAACACAUUGAUGGGAGUCUAGUUACAUGUUCCAAUAUUUAGAAAUACCAAAAGACACUUAAGGAAAUGAAACUAUGUGCUGGAAAAAUAUCAAAUUAAAUGCACUUUGUUGGGCGCUGCUGGUCGAG
rnacentral:lncRNA from 1 species